rnacentral:lncRNA from 1 species
GAGAGGAGAGGAGAGGAGAGGGUUGUUCUCUAGGAGAGGAGAGGGGUGUUCUGGAGGAAAACCAGUGUGUAAUCUGGGGGGCCUGAAGGCAUGCUUCUGUUACCUGAGGCUGAGGUGUCGCAAGACCAGCCUGUGUGUGCCGGUACUUUGACACACAAACACAAACACUACGAGUGGAGACGAGGAGGAUUCUGGGAUGUGGACGAGACAGUGAAUCACAGAAAAGGUAAGGGAAAAGAGGACGUUUCUGAACUCAGACAUCAUCACAACUCCCAACAGCCGCUUUCUCUACCAUCUCUUCGUUUUAUUGUCUUUCGUCCUCCUUCUCUACCAUCUCUUUCUCCCUACUUUUCCCUCUCUCCUCCUCCUCCUCCUCCUCCCCACUCUCACCCAUCUCUUCUAUUUCCCCCCUCUCUUUCCCUCCUUCCCUCUCUUUCUCUCGUUCUCCCUGUCGUCCUAAAGCAG